UAAAAUAGGAAACAAAAUCAUCAGGAGUGGAGAUAGUGUGAUGGCAUUUGAGAAGAGAAUGGAGGAAAACUGUGGAGGAGAUGGGGACCAGGCUGGUCUCAAAAUCCUGGCCUCAAGCUAUCCUCUUGCCUCGGCAUCCCAAAGUGCUGGGAUUACAGGGGUGAGCUACCCCACCCACCAGGGACCUCUCAGGCAGAUUGAUUGCUUAUGUGUGUUCAGCUCUGGAGGCCACAUUCCAACACCUGUUGUUUCCUGACUUUUUAAUGAUUGCCAUUCUAACUGGUGUGAGAUGGUAUCUCAUUGUGGUUAAGAGCUUCUGCACAGCAAAAGAAACUACCAUCAGAGUGAACAGGCAACCUACAGAAUGGGAGAAAAGUUCUGCAAUCUACUCAUCUGACAAAGGGCUAAUAUCCAGAAUCUACAAUGAACUCCAACAAAUUUACAAGAAAAAAACUAACAACCCCAUCAAAAAGUGGGCAAAGGAUAUGAACAGACACUCUCAAAAGAAGACAUUUAUGCAGCCAAAAGACAUAUGAAAAAAUGCUCAUCAUCACUGGCCAUCAGAGAAAUGCAAAUCAGAAAAAGACUCUUUAAUCUAUUUUUUUCUCUCUAAUUAAAAAUUUUAAGACAGAGCUGUUUUUUAUAAAUUUUACCCUAUAUAAGAAAUUUAACAUGCUUUUAUUUCCUUUUUCCUUUCCUCCAAUUUUCAGUUUUUGUUGACAAAACUGAUUAUAAUACUUUUAAAGUAUGACAGGUAUUUUAUUUCAAAAAUUCUUAUUUACAUUUAUAUUGUUUUGUAACUA
rnacentral:antisense_RNA from 1 species